rnacentral:rRNA from 1 species
UACGAAGGGUGCAAACGUUAUUCGGAAUCACUGGGCGUAAAGGGUGCGUAGACGGCGUGUUAAGUUCGUUGUUAAAGGCUUCAGCCUAACUGGAGUAUUGCGAUGAAAACUGGCAUGCUAGAGGAUGAGAGAGAGAAGUGGAAUUCCCGGAGUAGCGGUAAAAUGCGUGGAUCUCGGGAGGAACACCAAUGGCGAAGGCAGCUUCUUGGCUCAUAUCUGACGUUGAGGCACGAAAGCGUGGGGAGCAAAC